rnacentral:misc_RNA from 1 species
UGUAGGAGCUGCCGAAGGCUGCGAUCUUUUGAUCUUGAUCUUAAAAACAACAUCAAAAGAUCGCAGCCUUCGGCAGCUCCUACA